rnacentral:rRNA from 1 species
CGCGGCUGAUUAGCUAGUUGGCGGGGUAACGGCCCACCAAGGCAAUGAUCAGUAGCCGGCCUGAGAGGGCGCACGGCCACACUGGAACUGAAACACGGUCCAGACUCCUACGGGAGGCAGCAGUGGGGAAUUUUGCGCAAUGGGGGAAACCCUGACGCAGCAACGCCGCGUGGAGGAUGACGCCCCUUGGGGUGUAAACUCCUUUCGACUGGGACGAUUAUGACGGUACCAGUAUAAGAAGCACCGGCUAACUCUGUG